UACGAAGGGGGCUAGCGUUGCUCGGAAUCACUGGGCGUAAAGGGUGCGUAGGCGGGUUUUUAAGUCAGGGGUGAAAUCCUGGAGCUCAACUCCAGAACUGCCUUUGAUACUGAAGAUCUUGAGUUCGGGAGAGGUGAGUGGAACUGCGAGUGUAGAGGUGAAAUUCGUAGAUAUUCGCAAGAACACCAGUGGCGAAGGCGGGUCUCUGGGCCGAUAUUGACGCUGAGGAGCGAAAGCGUGGGGAGCAAACAGGG
rnacentral:rRNA from 1 species